rnacentral:lncRNA from 1 species
CCCUACCUAUGUAUGAUGCAAACAACAACUUACCAAAUAUGGCAGACCGAUACUUGUCGGUAACUUUUUUUCUCAUCAUACAUAGGUGCAUUGCGCCACUCAUAAGCAAAGGUAAAAAUGAAAAGCCAAAACCAGAGAACAAGAAAUAUGAAGAUGUGGUUGUCGUGUCAAUGACCCCUAUCAUCAAAGAGAAAUUUUUAUACCUCAUCAUAUCAACUGCCAUUCAAUAAAUAUCACUCAGUUAUUUUUCUUUCAGAGUCAUUCAAAUAAAGAUGACCUCAUAUUCACACAAUUUAACAUGAAAGUC